rnacentral:rRNA from 1 species
CUGCCCAGUGAAAACUUUUAAACGGCCGCGGUAUCCUAACCGUGCAAAGGUAGCGCAAUCACUUGCCCUUUAAUUAAGGACUAGUAUGAACGGUUACACGAGGGUCUAACUGUCUCUUAAGGCUGAUCAAUGAACUUGAUGAUUCAGUACAAACGCUGAAAUAAACACACAAGACGAGAAGACCCUGUGGAACUUUAGGUUUCUGCCAGCAGACCAAUGAUUUCCCCAUCCCUUUAUCUAGCAGAUACUUUCAGUUGGGGCAACUACGGAGCAAAAAAACCCUCCACGAACAACAGGUCACACCUGUACUUCAGGCUUACAUGCCACCCCCCCC